rnacentral:rRNA from 1 species
UACGUAGGGUCCGAGCGUUGUCCGGAAUUAUUGGGCGUAAAGGGCUCGUAGGCGGUUUGUCGCGUCGGGAGUGAAAACACGGGGCUUAACCCCGUGCCUGCUUCCGAUACGGGCAGACUAGAGGUAUGCAGGGGAGAACGGAAUUCCUGGUGUAGCGGUGAAAUGCGCAGAUAUCAGGAGGAACACCGGUGGCGAAGGCGGUUCUCUGGGCAUUACCUGACGCUGAGGAGAGAAAGUGUGGGGAGCGAACAGG